AGCAAAGCAAAGAGGUUCAGUGGAAAAGGCUUUAGCAGUUUCAAAAUUGGCUAUAUUUUUGUGAUGAGAAGAAGAAAUUAUUGGGCUGCAAAGGAAGUCAAAAGUGAGUCUCCUUUCAUUGGCCCCCUGUCCUCUGUGAAAACAACCCAAAUAUUAUAUUAUUGUUAGUAGAAAGAACCCAUUACAUUUGUUAAUAUUCUUUUAAAUGAAUUCAUAUCUCUAUCA